CCCUGUGAUGCUGGAGUUGAAAGGAAGAACUCGAAGGCGCAGGUGGUUGCGAUCAUGGCCUUCAGGGAGAUAUGAUUAUUUUACACGGCUGAUUGCUACCUGAAGGAAGUCAGACUACAAUUAAGACUGUCAGUAAAAUCAAGAGGGACACUUUUUAAAUUGUCUUUGCGAUAUGAACACUUCAUCCAGUCUCUUCUGAGGUACUCUGAAAUUGCUCCUGUCCUUUUCAACCAAGACAUCCCGGACUUCUAGACUUCCAUUACCUCAUAAGGAAGCUUGGUUCUGGAAACACAGCAAACUUUCCUUACCUAUUGGUAAGGCAGCAGUGAAGGCAUGGGGAAACAUUCAGAAAUGGAGAGCCUGUAUCCCCUACCAAGCCCUGGGAAAUCAACAGAAACGGCUGAUCUGAACCUGGAGCUCGGGUCUGGAAAGGGUCCAUACUGCUCAGCUUGAAACCUCGGUACCAAGAAAUAGCUCUGUGCUCUGAGGAGCCUAAUCUUGCCAUGAUGGUCGGUUCACUGUGCUGCCAACAACUAGGCCAAGAACGGCCUUUGGCUCUCGGCCGAAAAUCAGCCUGCCCACCAGAGGGAACUCUACAGAACACUGCAAUCAAUUCCACCCAAAUGCUGGUCUGCACU